UUACAGGCAGGAUACAGUUGGAAACAUUGGUUAUAUUACUAAGGCUUUGACUGAAAUGUUAUAUUUAAGAAUAUGCAUACAAUGCCUAGCUUCAAGAGUUCCUGGCCCUACACUAAGUGAGUCAAACUUGACAUCUUUCAGCCAGGUGUGGUGGCUCAUGCCUGUAAUCCCAGCACUUUGGGAGGCCGAGGCGGGCGGAUCACCUGAGGUCGGGAGUUCGAGACCAGCCUGGCCAACAUGGUGAAACCCCAUCUCUACUAAAAAUACAAAAAGUAGCCAGGUGAGGUGGUGCGUGCCUGUAAUCCUAGCUACUCGGGAGGCUGAAGCAGAAGAAUCACUGGAACCUGGGAGGCGGAGGCUGCAGUGAGCCGAGACUGAGCCACUGCACUCCAGUCUGGGGGACAGAGUGAGACUCUGUCUCAAAAAAAACAAAAAAACAAACAACAACAACAACAACAAAAAGGACAUCUUUCACAUUUGUCCCUUUUGAUCAAGAUCUGGCAGAUCCAAGAACCUUUAAACUCUCUGCAGGCAGGAACAAUCCAGCAGGAAGAUCACUGAGCCAGGACUGAGGUGAUUUCUCAUCCCAGGUUUACCACUGACGUGUCAUGGGUCUUGAGUUCCUGUCCAAAUGGGAAAAAACAGUGCACUUGGACUUCAGAGUCAAG